GCCCGUGACUGAACCCAGGUUUGUUACAUUUUCCCAGCUUAACGCUCGAAAUUUCGCCGACACGAGUGAUCUAUUGGAGAAGCAAGGGAGAUGCUGAAGGAAGCUUUGGUGGUAAUUAAAUUUCCACUUUCAACAGAUACAAAACCAAGGAGGUGCUGAAUGUCAAUACCCCCUCGAAAAGGUCGGACUGAGCCAUCCUCCAUGGUCACUUGAACAUUGUUGUGAUUCUUAGUGAUAUCGUCUCCCAAAUCGACUGCUUCCAUUUUGUCAUGUACAUCCACAACUGCAGUGCACAUAUGCCAGGUGGUACUUGGUACAGAACUUUUGGGAUGGUUCUUGGCAUGCGCUUUUUGGAAGGUUUCUCCUUUUCGUCAUUUACAAUGCUUUUGUGGAGUUGUCCAAAUAGUCCAGGAGCA